rnacentral:hammerhead_ribozyme from 1 species
AUCCAUCUGACGAGUCGCAGAUAAGACGAAACACGCGUCAAACUGGAU